rnacentral:rRNA from 1 species
GGUUGAUCCUGCCAGUAGUUAUAUGCUUGUCUCAAAGAUUAAGCCAUGCAUGUCUAAGUACAAACUAUAUUCUAUAGUGAAACCGCAAAAGGCUCAGUACAACAGCUAUUAUUUAUUUGAUUAUAACAACAGUUACUUGGAUAACUGUGGUAAUUCCAGAGCUAAUACAUGCAAACGACGUGACACCUCGCAGUGACACGUGCUUUUAUUAGAUUAAAACCAUGGCGACUUCGGUCGCCUCCACUUUGAUGAAUCUGGAUAAUUUUGGCUGAUCGUAUGGUCUCGCACCGAC